ncrna:unclassified sequences drum RNA
AGGUUAUGAAGUGCUUGAGGGUGCUAAGGAGCCUUGAAGCACGGAGCCUUCGGGAAGGGUUCGGUGACGUUACCUCAACUUAGCUAGGCUGAAAGUCGAAAUAAAACACCAUCA